UCCUCAGAGUAAAGUUCAAGGUCCUUCCCAC
rnacentral:piRNA from 1 species